CCUCUCUCAGACUGAAGUAGAAUGAGUAAGCUUGAAGCAAUUUCUAGCUGAAGUAAUGUUGGUGAGAAAACCCCCCAAAGGUGUUCAGUCACUUUUACGAGAACAAAAGCCCUCCUCGUCCAUGCUAUUUCAGCAGGAAAGAUGGCAAGAGGAGAAACGUGCACAGGGAAGCCCCAACACUCCUCCUGCUCCCCAGGGCCCUGGCCAGGGCCAGAUCAAAUGGUGGAGGACCCAAAGUUGUUUUUAAAAACGUGCGGCAGCCUCAGACUGCAAAAGCAGCCCAGCUUCCUUCUCACUUUAGCACCCCAAUGCAGGAGGAAACCCUGGUAUAAAGGAACAGAUGCAAAAUAGAAGACUGAAGAAAAUACAGCCUGCAGAAAGAACAUAAUUAUUAUUAUAGGCAUAAUAAAUUCCAUGUACAAAUUAAUAAACAGUAUAAAAC